rnacentral:rRNA from 1 species
GACGAACGCUGGCGGCGUGCUUAACACAUGCAAGUCGAACGGAAAGGCCCUGCUUUUGUGGGGUGCUCGAGUGGCGAACGGGUGAGUAACACGCGAGUAACCUGCCCUUGACUUUGGGAUAACUUCAGGAAACUGGGGUUAAUAUCGGAUAGGAGCUCCUGCUGCAUGGUGGGGGUGGGAAAGUUUCGGCGGUUGGGGAUGGAAUCGUGGCUUAUCAGUGUGUUGGUGGGGUAGUGGCUUACAAAGGCUCUGACGGGUAGCCGGCCUGAGAGGGUGACCGGCCACAAUGGGACUGAGAUACGGCCCAGACUCCUACGGGAGGCAGCAGUGGGGAAUAUUGCACAAAGGGCGGAAGCCGGAUGCAGCAACGCCGCGUGCGGGAUGACGGCCUUCGGGUUGUAAACCGCUUUCGCCUGGGACGAAGCGUGAGUGACGGUAAUGGGUAAAGAAGCACCGGCUAACUACGUG